GUAAACUCCCUUCAGCAGCACAUAUACUAAAAUUGGAAGGAUACAGAGAAGAUUAGCAUGGCCCCUGCGCAAGAAUCACAGGCAAAUUCAUGAAGCGUUCCAUAUUUUU
ensembl:snRNA U6 U6 spliceosomal RNA